UGUGAGCUUCGAGUGACCUUCUAAGAACAU
rnacentral:piRNA from 1 species